rnacentral:rRNA from 1 species
GAUGAACGCUGGCGGCGUGCCUAACACAUGCAAGUCGAGCGAACGGACGAGAAGCUUGCUUCUCUGACGUUAGCGGCGGACGGGUGAGUCACACGUGUAUACCCUACCUAUAAGACUGGGAUCACUUCGGGAAACCGGCGCUAAUACCGGAUAAUAUUUUGAACCGCAUGGUUCAAAAGUGAAAGACGGUGCUGCUGUCACUUAUAGAUGGUUCCGAGCUGCUUUAGCUAGUUGGUACGGUAACGGCUUACCAAGGCUACGAUGCAUAGCCGACCGGAGAGGGUGAUAGGCCACACUGGAACUGAGACACGGUCCAGACUACUACGGGAGGCAGCAGACGGGAAUCGUCGGCAGUGGGCGAAAGCAUGACGCAGCAACGCCGCGUGUGUGAUGAAGGUCUUCGGAGCGUAAAGCUCUGUUAUUAGGGAAGAACAUAUGUGUAAGGAGCUGUGCAGAUCGUGACGGUACCUAGUAAAAAAGCCACGGCUAACUACGUG